UACAGAGGUCCCAAGCGUUGUUCGGAUUCACUGGGCGUAAAGGGUGCGUAGGUGGGUUGGUAAGUCAGUGGUGAAAUCUCCAGGCUUAACUUGGAAACUGCCAUUGAUACUAUCAAUCUUGAAUACCGUGGAGGUCAGCGGAAUAUGUCAUGUAGCGGUGAAAUGCUUAGAUAUGACAUAGAACACCAAUUGCGAAGGCAGCUGGCUACACGAAUAUUGACACUGAUGCACGAAAGCGUGGGGAUCAAACAGG
rnacentral:rRNA from 1 species